AACGCGAAGAACCUUACCUACUCUUGACAUCCACGGAGUUCGGCAGAGAUGCCUUAGUGCCUUCGGGAACCGUGAGACAGGUGCUGCAUGGCUGUCGUCAGCUCGUGUUGUGAAAUGUUGGGUUAAGUCCCGCAACGAGCGCAACCCUUAUCCUUUGUUGCCAGCGAUUCGGUCGGGAACUCAAAGGAGACUGCCGGUGAUAAACCGGAGGAAGGUGGGGAUGACGUCAAGUCAUCAUGGCCCUUACGAGUAGGGCUACACACGUGCUACAAUGGCGCAUACAAAGAGAAGCGACCUCGCGAGAGCAAGCGGACCUCAUAAAGUGCGUCGUAGUCCGGAUCGGAGUCUGCAACUCGACUCCGUGAAGUCGGAAUCGCUAGUAAUCGUGGAUCAGAAUGCCACGGUGAAUACGUUCCCGGGCCUUGUACACACCG
rnacentral:rRNA from 1 species